UGCACCGCCUUACAGAGCGACUUGUACAGCAGGAAUGGAUCAGGAAUGUUCCUUCUUUACAUCGUUGGGAUUCCUCUACUUUGUCAAGAGUUCCUAGGCCCAGUAUCAAUCUUGGAGAACAAAUGCAAUGGAAGUUUGACACUAUAUUGUCCCACGUACUUCGACGGCAGACCGGACACAAUCCGCUAUUCCUCUAUCACCAGGAUGCCGCGGGGAUAGAGCUACUUCGACGCUACCCUGGAUUCCUUUUGCCU